UUUACUUCUUAAACUUUGGCUAAAAUCAAGUGUAGUAUCUGUUCUUAGCAAUUUAAUAUCUGAUACAUCCUCUAUCUGAGGACAGUUGCUAGUUGGGUAGAAAGGGAUUGAGGUAGGUAAAUGUGGGAGUAAAAAUCACU
rnacentral:snRNA from 1 species